GUGUCAGCAGCCGCGGUAAGACGAACCGUGCGAACGUUGUUCGGAAUCACUGGGCUUAAAGGGCGCGUAGGCGGGUCAUCAAGUCCGGGGUGAAAUCCUUCGGCUUAACCGGAGCAGGGCUUCGGAUACUGGUGACCUCGAGGGGUGUAGGGGCAUGUGGAACUUCCGGUGGAGCGGUGAAAUGCGUAGAUAUCGGAAGGAACGCCGGUGGCGAAAGCGACGUGCUGGACACCUUCUGACGCUGAGGCGCGAAAGCCAGGGGAGCAAACGGGAUUAGAUACCCUGGUAGUCC
rnacentral:rRNA from 1 species